rnacentral:rRNA from 1 species
GGCUUAAUGAUUUUAAUUUUAGGUCGAUCUGCCCAAUGAUUUAAAUAUUUAAUGGCUGCAGUAUAAUUGACUGUACAAAGGUAGCAUAAUCAAUUGUUUUUUAAUUAAAAACUGGAAUGAAAGAAUUAAUGAGAUAUAUACUGUCUCAUAUAUAUUUAAUUAAUUUAAAUUUUUAGUAAAAAUGCUAAAAUAAAUUUAUGGGACGAUAAGACCCUAUAGAAUUUUAUAUUAAUAUUUAAAUUUAUUAUUUAUUUUAGAUAUUAAUAUUUAAUUGGGAGGAUUAAUAAAUUUAAUUAACUUUAUUUUAAAUAAAAACUUUAAUUUAAGAAUAAUUAAUGAUCUUUUAUUAAAAAUUAUAAGAAUAAAUUACCUUAGGGAUAACAGCGUAAUAUCUUUUUAAAGAUCAUAUUAAUAAAGAUGAUUGCGACCUCGAUGUUGAAUUAAGAUAAAUUUUAAAUGGAGAAGUUUAAUAAUUAAGUCUGUUCGACUUUUAAAAUCUUACAUGAUUUGAGUUCAAAUCGACGUAAGU